ACAUGCACGUAAAGGAGGGUAGUCGCUGAACUGUGCCCACUGUAGGUCCCAACUUGAUACACCCAUGAUCGUCCUCGUAACCAAGGCGAUAUUCAGAGCACAAUAUCUGGAGUGGUUUGGGUUGGAGUUUGACAUCUACCACUAGUGAGUCGUGUGAACAACUGUACAGCAGGGGAGAUGAUUUAUGUUUGACCACGUGCUUUGUACACACCCAACAAACCGGAACAUAUCGAGUAAGUGUGGCUGCAUCUCAAAACAUUGGGUUGUAAUGAUUAUUUGUUCUGCACUAAGAAGUAUUGUGGCUUGUAAAUAAUGUAUUUUUAUUUCUGUUUUCCUAUUAAGCAAGCCACUGCUGUUGUCUAUUGUGGCGUAAUUGUCUGUAAUCUGUUAAAUGAUUUUCUUUGAUCUCUUAGAUCCCUUUUCGACCUCUUUUAAAAUUCAGUUAACAUCUCAGUCUUUCAUCUUAAUGCUGAACAAUUUUUCAUUGUUCAGUCGGGAAUAAAGCCCACCUAAAAAUUA